rnacentral:rRNA from 1 species
AGUGAACGCUGGCGGCAGGCCUAAAACAUGCAAGUCGAGCGGAGCGGCGGACGGGUGAGUAAUGCCUAGGAAUCUGCCUGGUAGUGGGGGAUAACGUCCGGAAACGGGCGCUAAUACCGAAUACAAUCAGAGGAGCCUAGGUCGGAUUAGCGAGUUGGUGGGGUAAAGGCCUACCAAGGCGACGAUCCGUAACUGGUCUGAGAGGAUGAUCAGUCAACCUGGAACUGAGACACGGUCCAGACUCCUACGGUAGGCAGCAGUGGGGAAUAUUGGACAAUGGGCGAAAGCCUGAUCCAGCCAUGCCGCGUGUGUGAAGAAGGUCUUCGGAUUGUAAAGCACUUUAAGUUGGGAGGCGUUACCAACAGAAUAAGCACCGGCUAACUUCGUGCCAGCAGCCGCGGUAAUUC